GAAAAACGUACCCCGGAAGACUGGAACGAGAUUCUCUCUGUUCACAGUAGCCAACACUGUAUGACAAUGAGAUUAUCAAGUCCAACCUCAGAAGGUGUGCACCACCUUGCUGGAUUUAAUGAAGUACUAGAGGUCAAACCCAGAGACCCAUGCAUUCUAGG